AGAGCGAACGCUGGCGGCAGGCCUAACACAUGCAAGUCGAGCGCCCGUAGCAAUACGGGAGCGGCAGACGGGAGAGUAACACGUGGGAACGCGCCCUUCGGUUCGGAAUAACUCAGGGAAACUUGAACUAAUACCGGAUACGCCCUUACGGGGAAAGAUUUAUUGCCGAAGGAACGGCCCGCGUCCGAUUAGCUUGUUGGUGAGGUAAUGGCUCACCAAGGCGACGAUCGGUAGCUGGUCUGAGAGGAUGACCAGCCUCACUGGGACUGAGACACGGCCCAGACUCCUACGGGAGGCAGCAGUGGGGAAUAUUGGACAAUGGGCGCAAGCCUGAUCCAGCCAUGCCGCGUGGAUGAUGAAGGCCCUAGGGUUGUAAAGUCCUUUUAACGGGAAGAUAAUGACGGUACCCGUAGAAUAAGCCCGGCUAACUUCGUGCCAGCAGCCGC
rnacentral:rRNA from 1 species